GAAAUGCGAUAAGUAGUGUGAAUUGCAGAAUUCAGUGAAUCAUCGAAUCUUUGAACGCACAUUGCGCCCCUUGGUAUUCCAUGGGGCAUGCCUGUUCGAGCGUCAUCUACACCCUCAAGCUCUGCUUGGUGUUGGGCGUCUUUGUCCCGCCUCCGCGCGCGGACUCGCCCCAAAUUCAUUGGCAGCGGUCCUUGCCUCCUCUCGCGCAGCACAUUGCGCUUCUCGAGGUGUUGCGGCCCGCGUCCAGAAAGCAAUCGUUACCGUCUUUGACCUCGGAUCAGGUAGGGAUACCCGCUGAACUUAAG
rnacentral:misc_RNA from 1 species